rnacentral:hammerhead_ribozyme from 1 species
ACACUACUGAGGAGUCCCAAAAUGGGACGAAACGGCCUUCCAGUGC